AGAAGAUAAACGACGUACAUACAUAGAAUCUAUACUCAAAGGUCAUCGUGUAUUAUUUGUGAAGUUGAUAUGGAAUAUUUAUCAAUAAGGGGUUGAUAUCGCUCGAUUGACUUUUGAGUUCAUCAAAUUUCUGGUCAGAUUCUGGUGACGUUUUACAAAGUCUGAGUAACAGCUGCAGGUCUUGAAUACCGAACGAGUUGGGGAAAUGUAUUUCGCAUAUGCAGGUGAGGUCGGUAUAUUGCUACUAAGGUGGCAAUAUUACUUUUCAAAUAUCUUUCUAUUUUUUGCAAUAUUAAUGCAUUUGGUGUUUUUGUGUGAAUGUGUGCUUAUAGUAGUGGGGUAGUCCAGUUGGUGAAAGUCAGUGAUCGCAUUUUGCACUGUAAUAUACACCAUCGGAUAAGUUAAAAUGUAAUUAUGAACAAUAUCUG
rnacentral:lncRNA from 1 species